rnacentral:tRNA from 1 species
AUUAAUAUGGCAGAUCAAGUGCAAUAGAAUUAAAAUCUAUUUAUAAAUUAUUUAUUUUAUUAAUA